rnacentral:rRNA from 1 species
AGAGUUUGAUCAUGGCUCAGAUUGAACGCUGGCGGCAGGCCUAACACAUGCAAGUCGAACGGUAACAGGAAGAAGCUUGCUUCUUUGCUGACGAGUGGCGGACGGGUGAGUAAUGUCUGGGAAACUGCCUGAUGGAGGGGGAUAACUACUGGAAACGGUAGCUAAUACCGCAUAACGUCGCAAGACCAAAGAGGGGGACCUUCGGGCCUCUUGCCAUCGGAUGUGCCCAGAUGGGAUUAGCUAGUAGGUGGGGUAACGGCUCACCUAGGCGACGAUCCCUAGCUGGUCUGAGAGGAUGACCAGCCACACUGGAACUGAGACACGGUCCAGACUCCUACGGGAGGCAGCAGUGGGGAAUAUUGCACAAUGGGCGCAAGCCUGAUGCAGCCAUGCCGCGUGUAUGAAGAAGGCCUUCGGGUUGUAGAGUACUUUCAGCGGGGAGGAAGGGAGUAAAGUUAAUACCUUUGCUCAUUGACGUUACCCGCAGAAGAAGCACCGGCUAACUCCGUGCCAGCAGCCGCGGUAAUACGGAGGGUGCAGGCGUUAAUCGGAAUUACUGGGCGUAAAGCGCACGCAGGCGGUUUGUUAAGUCAGAUGUGAAAUCCCCGGGCUCAACCUGGGAACUGCAUCUGAUACUGGCAAGCUUGAGUCUCGUAGAGGGGGGUAGAAUUCCAGGUGUAGCGGUGAAAUGCGUAGAGAUCUGGAGGAAUACCGGUGGCGAAGGCGGCCCCCUGGACGAAGACUGACGCUCAGGUGCGAAAGCGUGGGGAGCAAACAGGAUUAGAUACCCUGGUAGUCCACGCCGUAAACGAUGUCGACUUGGAGGUUGUGCCCUUGAGGCGUGGCUUCCGGAGCUAACGCGUUAAGUCGACCGCCUGGGGAGUACGGCCGCAAGGUUAAAACUCAAAUGAAUUGACGGGGGCCCGCACAAGCGGUGGAGCAUGUGGUUUAAUUCGAUGCAACGCGAAGAACCUUACCUGGUCUUGACAUCCACAGAACUUUCCAGAGAUGGAUUGGUGCCUUCGGGAACUGUGAGACAGGUGCUGCAUGGCUGUCGUCAGCUCGUGUUGUGAAAUGUUGGGUUAAGUCCCGCAACGAGCGCAACCCUUAUCUUUUGUUGCCAGCGGUCCGGCCGGGAACUCAAAGGAGACUGCCAGUGAUAAACUGGAGGAAGGUGGGGAUGACGUCAAGGCAUCAUGGCCCUUACGACCAGGGCUACACACGUGCUACAAUGGCGCAUACAAAGAGAAGCGACCUCGCGAGAGCAAGCGGACCUCAUAAAGUGCGUCGUAGUCCGGAUUGGAGUCUGCAACUCGACUCCAUGAAGUCGGAAUCGCUAGUAAUCGUGGAUCAGAAUGCCACGGUGAAUACGUUCCCGGGCCUCGUACACACCGCCCGUCACACCAUGGGAGUGGGUUGCAAAAGAAGUAGGUAGCCUAACCUUCGGGAGGGCGCUUACCACUUUGUGAUUCAUGACUGGGGUGAAGUCGUAACAAGGUAACCGUAGGGGAACCUGCGGUUG